UGCGGACGUAUUUCUCAUUUAAUGGUUCUUUUUCCACCGUUAGCUUAAUAACAUAAGCCUAUUGUAACACUGCAGUAUUCUCAGUUAUAAGUAACUACAAAAGCCUUACUGCCAAGUCUGUCUCACAGCUGGACUGAGCACCUGCUGUAUAUGGAGCUGGACAUACUUAUUGAUUAAUGUGCGGGGGAGUGGCCCCAGACAUCGUGGCUCCCUCAUUGCAUCCCCAAGCAUAGAAAACAAGCAACACAGGAAAAGUGAGGUAAAGCAAUUUGAACACUGGACUCCAAUAUGACCUUUGAUUAUGAGAGGAAUAAAGCAGUGCUCAUAUCCCAGGCCUCUCCGUUUCCUCUCAACAUGAUGAAUGGGACACCCUGAGCUGCAGGACAGAACAACCAUUUGAGAAUCCAGGGCAAAGGUGGAGCCAUCUUUAAGGGAUGCUGGGAGGAUAACCGGUCCAUUUUUCUUGGCCUCCACCUUCAGAAGGGGCUCGGAUGCUCAGAUCCUAGACUGAAUAAUUUGUCACCUAUUUACAUGGAGCCAAGAACUGGGGAAAUGGAACGAGCAGGUGGUAUCUCACUCUCCCUCCUCCCUGUGCCACAGACAGAUGUGUCUAACUGCAAACAUCCCCCCAUCUUCUCUCCUUCUCCUGGGGCUCUCUUUCAAUGUGUUGCACUCUUGAUGUCUAAAAUAAGAAAGGCAAAUCACUGCUGCUCAGAACUGGCCUAAUAAUGUUUUUGUUAUCUGACAAAGAGUUAUUUUCUUAAUU